rnacentral:rRNA from 1 species
AGAGUUUGAUCCUGGCUCAGGACGAACGCUGGCGGUGCGCCUUAUGCAUGCAAGUCGAGCGAAGCUUUUCAGUAGUUUACUACAGAAAAUGACUGAGCGGCGAACGGGUGAGUAACGCGUGAGCAAUCUACCUUAGUUACAGGGAUAGCCCGAGGAAACUCGGAUUAAUACCUGAUAUUCUUUACAUUUCGCAUGAAAUCAAAAGGAAAGGUCAGCCGAACUAAGAUGAGCUCGCGUUCUAUCAGCUAGUUGGUGAGGUAAAAGCUCACCAAGGCAACGACGGAUAGCUGGUCUGAGAGGACGAUCAGCCACACUGGGACUGAGACACGGCCCAGACUCCUACGGGAGGCUGCAGCAGGGAAUAUUGCGCAAUGAGCGAAAGCUUGACGCAGCGACACCGCGUGUGGGAUGACGGAUCUAGGUUUGUAAACCACUUUCAGGAGGGAAGAAAAUGACGGUACCUCCACAAGAAGCCCCGGCCAACUACGUGCCAGCAGCCGCGGUAAUACGUAGGGGGCGAGCGUUGUCCGGAUUUAUUGGGCGUAAAGAGCUCGUAGGCGGUUCAACAAGUCGGUCGUAAAAGUUCAGGGCUCAACCCUGAAAUGUCGAUCGAUACUGUUGUGACUAGGAUACGGUAGAGGUGAGUGGAAUUCCGAGUGUAGCGGUGAAAUGCGUAGAUAUUCGGAGGAACACCAAUUGCGAAGGCAGCUCACUGGGCCGCUAUCGACGCUGAGGAGCGAAAGCUAGGGGAGCAAACAGGAUUAGAUACCCUGGUAGUCCUAGCUGUAAACGAUGGAUACUAGACGUAGGAACUGGAUUGACGGUUUCUGUGUCGCAGCUAACGCGUUAAGUAUCCCGCCUGGGGAGUACGGUCGCAAGACUAAAACUCAAAGGAAUUGACGGGACCCCGCACAAGCGGCGGAGCAUGCGGCUUAAUUCGAUGAUACCCGUAGAACCUUACCUGGACUUGACAUAUAGGGUCUAGCUAUAGAGAUAUAGUGUGCAUUAGCGCCCUAUACAGGUGGUGCAUGGCUGUCGUCAGCUCGUGUCGUGAGAUGUUGGGU